CUAUUAUUUGAAGUGUAAAAUUUAAUAACUUGAGUAGUAUUAGUUAAGUUCUUGAAACUCAAAGAAUUUGGCGGUGUUUUAGUCUAUUCAGAGGAAUCUGUCCUGUAAUCGAUAGUUCACGGGUAACUGUACUUAAUUUUGUAGAUUCAACUUGUAUAUCGCCGUCAUCAGAUUAUUUUAGAAGAAUUAUUAAUUUUCUUAAAAUUGAUUAAAUUAAAUGUCAGGUCAAGGUGCAGUUUAUAAUUGAGAAGAGAUGGAUUACAAUAAAUUUAUUUAUAUGGAUAUUAAAUUGGAAUAUUUAGUUGAAGGUGGAUUUGAUAGUAAUUUUAUUUACUGGUAAUUUGAUUAUAGCUCUAAAACA
rnacentral:rRNA from 1 species